GGGCCCGCACAAGCGGUGGAGUAUGUGGUUUAAUUCGAUGAUACGCGAGGAACCUUACCAGGACUUAAAUGUAAGUUGCAUGAUUCAGAAAUGGAUCUUUCUUCGGACUACUUACAAGGUGCUGCAUGGUUGUCGUCAGCUCGUGCCGUGAGGUGUCAGGUUAAGUCCUAUAACGAGCGCAACCCCUAUCGUUAGUUGCCAUCAAGUAAAGUUGGGAACUCUAGCGAAACUGCCGGUGCAAACCGUGAGGAAGGUGGGGAUGACGUCAAAUCAUCACGGCCCUUACGUCCUGGGCCACACACGUGCUACAAUGGUCAGUACAGAAAGCAGCCACUAUGCGAAUAGGCGCGAAUCUUCAAAGCCGGUCUCAGUUCGGAUCGGAGUCUGCAACUCGACUCCGUGAAGCUGGAAUCGCUAG
rnacentral:rRNA from 1 species